rnacentral:rRNA from 1 species
GAUGAACGCUAGCGGCAGGCCUAAUACAUGCAAGUCGAACGCUCAGUAGCAAUACUGGGAGUGGCGCACGGGUGCGUAACGCGUACACAAUCUACCUCUAAGCGGGGGACACCUCCCUGGAAACGGGGAUUAAUACCGCAUAAUAUGCCGAGGUCGCAUGACUUUGGUAUUAAAGCAGCAAUGCACUUAGAGAUGAGUGUGCGUCCCAUUAGGUAGUUGGUGAGGUAACGGCUCACCAAGCCUAUGAUGGGUAGCCGGUCUGAGAGGAUGGUCGGCCACACGGGCACUGAGACACGGGCCCGACUCCUACGGGAGGCAGCAGUAAGGAAUAUUGGUCAAUGGUGGAAACACUGAACCAGCCAUGCCGCGUGGAGGAAUAAGGUCCUACGGAUUGUAAACUCCUUUUGACGAGGAAGAAAGUGUUAGAUUUAUCUAAUUUUGACGGUACUCGUAGAAUAAGCACCGGCUAACUCCGUGCCAGCAGCCGCGGUAAU